rnacentral:rRNA from 1 species
CCUACGGGUGGCUGCAGUAGGGAAUAUUGCUCAAUGGGGGAAACCCUGAAGCAGCAACGCCGCGUGGAGGAUGAAGGUUUUCGGAUUGUAAACUCCUUUUGUUAGAGAAGAUAAUGACGGUAUCUGACGAAUAAGCCCCGGCUAACUCCGUGCCAGCAGCCGCGGUAAUACGGAGGGUGCAAGCGUUACACGGAAUCACUGGGCGUAAAGAGCGCGUAGGCGGGAUAGCAAGUCAGAUGUGAAAUCCUAUGGCUUAACCAUAGAACUGCAUUUGAAACUGUUAUUCUAGAGUAUGUGAGAGGUAGGUGGAAUUCUUGGUGUAGCGGUGAAAUGCGUAGAGAUCAAGAGGAAUACUCAUGGCGAAGGCGACCUGCUAGACCAUAACUGACGCUGAUGCGCGAAAGCGUGGGGAGCAAACAGGAUUAGAUACCCGGGUAGUC